rnacentral:rRNA from 1 species
GAAGCCGGAAUUGCUAGUAAUGGCAGGUCAGCAUACUGCCGUGAAUACGUUCCCGGGCCUUGUACACACCGCCCGUCACACCAUGAGAGUUGGGAAUACCCGAAGCCUGUGAGCUAACAUUAAGAGGCAGCAGUCGAAGGUAGAAUCAAUGAUUGGGGUGAAGUCGUAACAAGGUACC